rnacentral:rRNA from 1 species
CGUAGGGGGCUAGCGUUGUCCGGAAUCAUUGGGCGUAAAGCGCGUGUAGGCGGUUCGGUAAGUCCGCUGUGAAAGUCGGGGGCUCAACCCUCGGAUGCCGGUGGAUACUGUCGGACUAGAGUGCGGAAGAGGCGAGUGGAAUUCCUGGUGUAGCGGUGAAAUGCGCAGAUAUCAGGAGGAACACCAAUUGCGAAGGCAGCUCGCUGGGACGUUACUGACGCUGAGACGCGAAAGCGUGGGGAGCAAACAGGAUUAGAUACCCUGGUAGUCCACGCCGUAAACGAUGGGCACUAGGUGUGGGGGGUGUCGACUCCCUCCGUGCCGAAGCUAACGCAUUAAGUGCCCCGCCUGGGGAGUACGGCCGCAAGGCUA